rnacentral:rRNA from 1 species
CGCGUAGGUGGUAGUGCAAGUCUGGGGUGGAAUCCCAGGGCUUAACCCUGGAACUGCCUUGGAAACUGUAUUACUUGAGUCAGUGAGGGGAGGGUAGAAUUCCUGGUGUAGCGGUGAAAUGCGUAGAUAUCAGGGGGAAGGCCUGUGGCGAAGGCGGCCCUCUGGCGCUGAACUGACACUGAGGCGCGAAAGCGUGGGUAGCAAACAGGAUUAGAUACCCUGGUAGUCCACGCCCUAAACGGUGGGUACUAGGUGUGGGGCUCGUAAGGGUUCUGUGCCGAAGCGAAAGCAUUAAGUACCCCGCCUGGGGAGUACGGCCGCAAGGUUGAA